GCCAAAGGUGGAUUAAACGGGAAUGUUAACUGAACAACCAUUCCCGACUACCGAGAACGAAGCGACGGGGCUGUGAACUCCCAAGCAGGGAAGGAAACGCCGCGACGGACCCAGCACUGUGCGCUCUGGAAAGAAUUCCUCUUUUCGCGUUACGCACCCGGCAGGCAGGCGGGGACCCCCUCAAAGCACCGGCUCGGAGCGGGUCGCACGAGAACUGAAGCGAGGCUUAAAUAGAAAGGAGCAAACAUGGAACCCAGGCAUCUGGCUCCAGAGUGCGUGUUCACAGCCUCUCCGCUCUCCUCAUCCUUUCAAAGGUAAAGACAGGUGUCUCUCCAAUGUGGUCAUCAAGACAGCUUUUGGCUGGAAGGACUUCCGGGCAUCAUGCAGAGGUGAGUCUGACCUGGGAGAGAAAAGGAAAAAACCAAGAAGGAAAACAGGAGGAAUGGUGGCUCUGUCCGUUUCCAAAAUGUAAAAGCUAAGGCAGAAUCAGAUUCUUCCUGAAGCAAAAUCUGCAUCGUCACAGCUGUCACUGGGGGGAAAAAUGCAAGUUUAGAGAACUAAACUCAUCCUCAUGUUUUGAAUACAAUUGCUUUGGGGCCGCAUUCUCUGAUGAGAUGCUAAUAAAUGUUUUCCAUCAUG